rnacentral:tRNA from 1 species
GGGCACGUGGCGUAAUUGGUAGCCGCGCACGUCUCAGAAGCGUGUGUCGAAAGACAUGGGAGUUCGACUCUCCCCGUGCCCACCU